rnacentral:rRNA from 1 species
UACGUAGGUGGCAAGCGUUGUCCGGAAUCAUUGGGCGUAAAGAGCGUGUAGGCGGCUCGGUAAGUCCGCUCUGAAAGCCCGGGGCUCAACCCCGGGAGGCGGGCGGAUACUGUCGGGCUAGAGUCCGGAAGGGGCGAGUGGAAUUCCUGGUGUAGCGGUGAAAUGCGCAGAUAUCAGGAGGAACACCAAUGGCGAAGGCAGCUCGCUGGGACGGUACUGACGCUGAGACGCGAAAGCGUGGGGAGCAAACAGG